UGAAAGACUUAUUCUAUUUUUCUGAACUAUGCUGAACUAUUGAACUAUUUUUAUUUUUAUUUUUGUAGAGUUAGCCGGAGAGAGAGGAAGUGUUAGCUGACCCAGGGAUGGAUGUACUAUGUGUGUUUUUGAUAUAUGUUGAGUGUGCCAAGGAUGGAUUCCCAUGUUUUGAGGAACUGCGUGAGGAUAUGACUGGUUUUGGCUGGACCUUUG
rnacentral:lncRNA from 1 species